rnacentral:rRNA from 1 species
GACCUGCGGAAGGAUCAUUAA